rnacentral:sRNA from 1 species
GUCGCAGGUUCGAAUCCUGCACGACCCACCAAUUUCAGCAUUUAACUCAGAUGCUGAACGUGAAGGAUAACGUUGCGUCAGCAACGGUCCGAAGGGCGAGGCAAAGCCGAGUCAUCCUGCACGACCUACCA